rnacentral:rRNA from 1 species
UACCAGCUCUCCGAGUGGUAGGGAUGAUUAUUGGGCUUAAAGCGUCCGUAGCCGGCUUAGCAAGUCUCCUGUUAAAUUCAGCGACCUAAUCGUUGAGCCGCGGGAGAUACUACUAGGCUAGGAGGCGGGAGAGGUCAACGGUACUUCCGGGGUAGGGGUGAAAUCCUAUAAUCCCGGGAGGACCACCAGUGGCGAAGGCUGUUGACUAGAACGCGCUCGACGGUGAGGGACGAAAGCUGGGGGAGCGAACCGGAUUAGAUACCCGGGUAGUCCCAGCUGUAAACGAUGCGAGCUAGGUGUUGGGGUGGCUACGUGCCACUUCAGUGCCGCAGGGAAGCCAUUAAGCUCGCCGCCUGGGGAGUACGGCCGCAAGGCUGAAACUUAAAGGAAUUGGCGGGGAGCACAGCAACGGGUGGAGCGUGCGGUUU